AGGCCUCUGGGGCUAUCCACGAUACGCACCUGGCGCACGAGGGCUGGCGAGUGCGAGAGAGAAAGAAAAACGCGAAAGAAAAAGCUAGGCGAGCAACGAAAAAAAAGGUGAAGUGGAUUUGUCUCACGCUUCUUCUCCCCACACGCAAACUCCUCCAUCUCCCAGUCCCAGCGGCGGCGGCUCCCGACGCCCUCAUCUUCUUCCUCUCGUCCGCUCCGGCCGGUUCCUGGUCUCCUGCACCGUCACGGCUUCAUCUGCGUCGUCAUCCCGUGCUGGAAGCAGGCAGGAGCAACUCAACCGCGGAGGCUCGACGGCCAGAGCGACGGCGACCGGCGCGGCCCUAGAUUGCCAUACGGCCCUCCCAAUGUCCGGGAUGCGUCGCCCCUUGCUCUCGUCCCCAAGCCCCAACAGAUCGAAGGCCGAAGCGCCGCGCAUCACGGCGGCAGUUUGGACUGAGAGCUGCAGGCGAGGGGUAUUCGCUGCCCACUUCCAAUCGUGCCCCCUUUGCAACUUCUUUAUUCCUUGGGAUUGUACAAUGCACUCUGUCUUGAUGAAUUGGUCACUUGCCAAGGCUUCAGUUAUAAGAGAAGGAUUUUCCUUGGGAAUAAUGGAGCUAAUUCAGUGACAAGAAAGCAACUAUGAACUACAUCACAUACAUGUUCAGAAAACUAUUCCGAAUGGUUUGGUCAAAAUCAAGGAUCUGGAUCAUCUAGCUAUACUGAAAGGCUAUCUUUGUGAUAUUUUUUCCCUGUUGCUUUUGAAUCAUGGAGUGCUUCCUAGCAUGUUAACAACCCCUCAUCUAUCCAUGUUAUUUUCAAAGAUCCAAUAGUUGCAGUAACUCUAAUCUAUUUUUUUGUAUGCAUCAAAGUGAUGAAUCGGCUUGACAUCCAUCAUCUUUCAAGGUAUAUAAACAUGCAAAUCCAGUUUAUUAUAUCUCUCUCUUUGAGACGAAUCCUUAAAGUGACCAGGUUGUAUUGAUACUGGUAGUGUAAAUAUGAUGUCUAACUCUUCUCAGGAAAGUAAGCUGCACUUCAUGCGCUUUUGGAAGGGAGCAAUUUUUUAUCAGAAUUUUGGCACUAUAUCCUAAUCUGAAGUGGUGCUUAUGAGAAUUUGACUUGAAAAAUGCACUACCGCAUACCAGAUCAGAUAAAGAUGUCACAAGAUUGAAUUUGGAGGACAACCGUCAGCGAGCUUAAGGACGUUGCCUUAGUCGCUCCUUAUGUAUGUGUACAAUUUGGUCCCUUUAUGUGACUUUGUCGUCAUGUGUUGGGGCCCAAGACUUAUUUUUCGGUAUAGAGAAGCAAGUGCAACCCCCUUUACCCUAUCCCAGGGCUCUCCACGAUAGCCCGGUGGCGCGCUCGCGCUGGGCGAAAAUUGUACAGCCUCGCCCGGCUCGAUUGUACUGCAGUGUACUACGAGAAAGUGCGAUCACUGGAGCUGUACUGCAAGCGAGCCAGGGAAAAAUUGUUGAAGCCAUCCUCCUAUCCUCUCACCUUUGCUCUCUCCCUCCCAACCCCUAAUUUCUCUCCCCUCCCAAUCAUCCUGGCGGCGGCAGCAGAGGCGAGAGGGCAACAGAGUUGCGACGACCAGGUCAAGAACCCCAGUAGCCGCCUCCCCUCCCCUACCCCCUUUUCAUCGCCCCAACGCUCAUCAGGGAGCAGGACGACCUGUGCCUCCAGAUGUGCCGCUGCCGCGACAUGGAAGCCGGCCUACUGAUGCUGCUCUCCUCCCGUGUCGGGGACGACGAGCUACUGCUGCACACCGGUGAAUAGUGGCGAUCGAGUACUCCUUUAUGUCAGGCGAGGAUGGGAGGCGGCGGGUUCAGGAGGGCGCCUGGCAGGGAUGAUGUGGCGCCAUAUUUGUGGCGUAAGAGAAGGAGGGGGACCUAUCGGUUUAUGAGUGAUAGUCCACAUCGAACACGUAAGCCCUAACCAUUGCUCUUCGGGUUUCAUCUGUUCUUGUGGAGGUUGGUCGAGCUCCAAGACAGGGUCAGAGUUGGUCAAGAGAACCAAUGAUUUUGUGAAAAAUAAAUCCAUGCGACCUCUAUUAUAUGUGGCUACAGGGUGACCUCUAUUAUUUGUCGCUAUAGGGUGAGCUUAUAAUGUCUUAGAAUAUUUAAUUUUGACAUAUGUAUUCUACCAUAUUGCUAUGCGUGAAGCUUGCGAAUAUGUUGAAGAAAGUUGCAUGUCAAGGUAAAAGAAUACUAUAUCCGGGACUAGUGGCAGUAGAACUAUGUUCUGUUCCAUGCUUAUUGUCAUAGUUGUCAUAUGCUGAUAAUGCCGGCAUGUUGUGGUGUUCCUACUCUCAUGCUUAUCCUCAGAUUUUGAACUUAUUUGUUUGAAACACAUAUACCUCCUCAUGGUCUCAAUAAUAGUUGGAUUGUAACUGUAGUCCGUAACAGUCUUUUUGUCUUUCAUUUGGCUAGCUUCCCUGUUGAACUAGGAUGUCCAGUAUAUAAAUACAGAGAUGGACCUCUCAAGGCUGUAGAUGAAUAUUAGUUUUGCAAACCUUCUGUGAUGGUACUGUCAGGAUUCAGGAAGCAACUAUUUAUGUUUUCCCAGAGCCCUUUCAUUCUUCCCCAAAUUUAAACUAUAUUGAUAAUAUAAAUACCUACCCUCUUUAUAAGUAUCUGUGUGUGGUGUAAUUAUGUACAUCUAAUGUACCUACCCUCUUUAUAAGUAUCUGUGUAUGGUGUAAUUAUGUACAUCUAAUGUCGUGUUGAGUUUUCUGGUAUGUGCUUCUUGUAGGUUAUUGUCAUAGUGGGAGAAACUGGUUAUGGUUAAAUGGUGCAAAUACCUCAGUAUCUUCCUGGAGCUAGAUAUACAGCAAGAGGAAAGUAUACAUGCUCUGGUACAUAGUGAGAUGGCUAUGCUCUGCUCCUUUGCGGCAUUCGGCGGGAGUAGCACUGGCCACCGCAGCACAGCAACUUCGAGAAGAGGUGAGCCGCCUCUGAUCUACCUUGAGUAUAGGUGAGGAUUGGGAAUUCCGAUAACAUGUAAGCUAGAAGAGAAGUGUACUGCAUAUUUUUCAGAUGAAGUAGACCACAUGCCUAUACUGGUAAAUUGUUAGUAAUUGCUUCAAAAAUAUGUUAAAGUUAGUAAUUGCUCCUGGACCAUAGGUAUGAACACAUGCCAUUUGCAUUAAGUCAAGUGCCCCACUGAAGCCUUUUGGUAAAAAAAAAUCGUUUACUUCUGAAAUAUCUUUCAAAAUACGGAAUAUGUAUUGCUGGAAAUCUGUGAUAAAAUGGGUCAAGAUAGGGUGCAUGAAAGCUUUUGUUUCAGAAAACAGGGCACCAGGUCCAGGCUAGACAGGUGGUUAACCCUCUUUGUGAUAUCAUCCAUUUUAUUGCCAUUCAAGGACUUACAGCUUAGGCCUUCAAUCAGUUUGUGGUUUGCCUAACAUAUUUUUGUGCCUUCUGCUCACAACAAAUUGCUACGUCUUCUUUUGCAUAGGAAAAGUGGUAAUACUUCUGUGCAUAUAUAAGUCUGGUUUAUAGGUUGACAAUUAUAGUGAAUAAGAUGUAGGUGCAUAUUCUGUUAAAAUUCUAAAUUAGAAGCACAUGAUUUAUUGAUUGGAAUUUUCUAUCUAUGUUCUGGUGUGCUUAUCUCUGCAUUUGAAGGUAGCAAACUAUGUCUUUUCAAGAUAGUAAAAUUGAGGAAAACAAAUAUAGUUCUUCAAUAGAAAGAUAAUUGUUAAGACAACUAUGCAUGUGUUCUACUCUUGCAUUCUAAUUAGCAUUAAAGGCCUCGAGAAAGGCUGGCCCUGCAACCCAAUUCGCCCACCCUGCAGAAUCGAACCUGAAUCCGUUGUUUGCCUCCUCGCAAACUGCACAUUUGGGCUCAUCUGCUUGAUUGGUGGCAGCUGUCUUCCAAUCAGGUUUCUUUUCAGCUCUGCAAGGCCUGGAGCUCCAUCAUGCAGCUUGUUGUUGCUGAAAGCUCUAGACAGAUUCCGCGGGGACCUUUCGGUGUGGUCGGACGCUCAAAAAUGCUGAACCUAGGAAGACCACAUGGACGACUGAAUAUAAUGGCCAACUGGGUGCUGCUGAUCGAGUCUCUGGUGCUUUGUAUUCUUCUUUUCUUCAGUUUAUCGGUUUCGCUCCCAGCUUGGUUCGGUUUGUCUUCAAAUCCUGUAACUCUCCUCUAAUCUAUAAUCAAUGAAAAGCUGCGCUGACAGCCCUUUCGUCAAGAAAA